GCCUGGCUGGCGCAAUGGUAGCGCGUCAGACUUCUAAUCUGAAGGUUGCGGGUUCGAUCCCCGCGUCGGGUU
rfam:Pyronema omphalodes CBS 100304, CBS100304, WGS project CATG01000000 data, contig: Pcon_v1_contig625